rnacentral:misc_RNA from 1 species
GAUGAAGAACGUAGCGAAAUGCGAUACUUGGUGUGAAUUGCAGAAUCCCGUGAACCAUCGAGUCUUUGAACGCAAGUUGCGCCCGAAGCCAUUAGGCCGAGGGCACGCCUGCCUGGGCGUCACACGUCGUUGCCCCCCCAUCUACUCCUUCGGGCUUGCGGGGGGCGGAUGAUGGCCUCCCGUGCGCCUCGCCGCGCGGUUGGCAUAAAUGCCAAGUCCUCGGCGACGCACGCCACGACAAUCGGUGGUUGCGAAACCUCGGUUGCCCGUCGUGUGCGGUCGUCGCGCAUCGAGGGCUCGAAAAAAUUGCCGGGUUCCGGCUCGGCUUUCAACGCGACCCCAGGUCAGGCGGGGUUACCCGCUGAAUUUAAGCAUAUCAAUAAGCGGAGGA